AAUGGGGAGAUUCAUCGUCAGCUCAUUUUGUAUAUGUUUGAGUUAUGAUGCGAGUUACUCNUUGUAGUAUUGCUUGCACAUACUUUUACAUUUAUUUGCAAGAUGUUGUCGGCGUGCACUUCUCCCCUAGUAGAACGUCGCGACCCGUUGGGUGUCGGUCUACGACCNGAGUNGGUAGACUUNUAAUAUUUUNAUAAUAUUAAAGACCCUUGGUGUUUUCUGACCGGCUGCCCGGCGGUACUCGUACGGUAUUUAG
rnacentral:rRNA from 1 species